rnacentral:sRNA from 1 species
UCCAGUCGCGGAUACGGCGCGCGAUGGC